rnacentral:rRNA from 1 species
GUCCAGACUCCUACGGGAGGCAGCAGUGAGGAAUAUUGGUCAAUGGCCGGAAGGCUGAACCAGCCAAGCCGCGUGAAGGACGAAGGUGCCAAGCAUUGUAAACUUCUUUUGUCAAGGGACAAAAUCAGGCUCGAGAGCCUGACCGAGGGUACUUGAAGAAAAAGCAUCGGCUAACUCCGUGCCAGCAGCCGCGGUAAUACGGAGGAUGCGAGCGUUAUCCGGAUUUAUUGGGUUUAAAGGGUGCGUAGGCGGACUGUUAAGUCAGGGGUAAAAGCCCGGGGCUCAACCCCGGCGAGCCGUUGAAACUGGGGGCCUUGAGUGGGCGAGAAGAAGGCGGAAUGCGUGGUGUAGCGGUGAAAUGCAUAGAUAUCACGCAGAACUCCGAUUGCGAAGGCAGCAUACCGGCGCUCAACUGACGCUCAUGCACGAAAGCGUGGGUAUCGAACAGGAUUAGAUACCCCAGUAGU